CUGAGUUGCAAAACUCCCACCAUUGUGAACCUACCCAGACUGUUGCUUCGGCGGGGGGGCACUGCCCUGCUUUCCCUAGGAAGCACCCGCCGGAGGCAUUUAAACUCUGUAUUAUUGGCCUCUCUGAGUAACUUAUUUAAUAAGUCA
rnacentral:misc_RNA from 1 species